AACGAACGCUGGCGGCAUGCCUAACACAUGCAAGUCGAACGAGACCUUCGGGUCUAGUGGCGCACGGGUGCGUAACGCGUGGGAACCUGCCCUUAGGUUCGGAAUAACUCCCCGAAAGGGGUGCUAAUACCGGACAAUGUCUUCGGACCAAAGAUUUAUCGCAUUUGGAUGGGCCCGCGUUGGAUUAGCUAGUUGGUAGGGUAAAAGCCUACCAAGGCGACGAUCCAUAGCUGGUCUGAGAGGAUGAUCAGCCACACUGGGACUGAGACACGGCCCAGACUCCUACGGGAGGCAGCAGUGGGGAAUAUUGGACAAUGGGCGGAAGCCUGAUCCAGCAAUGCCGCGUGAGUGAUGAAGGCCUUAGGGUUGUAAAGCUCUUUUACCCGGGAUGAUAAUGACGGUACCGGGAGAAUAAGCUCCGGCUAACUCCGUG
rnacentral:rRNA from 1 species